AACGAACGCUGGCGGCGUGCCUAACACAUGCAAGUCGAGCGCGAACGACCCCUUCGGGGGACUAGUAGAGCGGCGGACGGGUGAGUAAUACAUGGAUAAUCUCCCUUCGAGCUCGGGAUAACACCGCGAAAGUGGUGCUAAUACCGGAUAAGACCACGAGACUGAGGUCUUGCGGGAAAAGGUGGCGUUAUUUUCGGAUAAGCUAUCACUUGAGGAUGAGUCCAUGGCCUAUCAGCUUGUUGGCGAGGUAACGGCUCACCAAGGCGAUGACGGGUAGCUGGGCGGAGAGGACGACCAGCCACACUGGGACGGAGAGACGGCCCAGACUCCUACGGGAGGCAGCAGUGGGGAAGAUUGGGCAAUGGGCGAAAGCCUGACCCAGCGACGCCGUGUGGGCGAUGAAGGCCUUCGGGUUGUAAAGCCCUGUUGGGUGGAAAGAAGGGCUCCUCGACGAAUAAUCGGGGAGCUUUGACGGUACCACCAGAGGAAGCACCGGCUAACUCCGUGCCAGCCGCCGCGGUAAGAC
rnacentral:rRNA from 1 species